rnacentral:rRNA from 1 species
AAUGAACGCUGGCGGUAGGCCUAACACAUGCAAGUCGAACGGCAGCACAGUAAGAGCUUGCUCUUACGGGUGGCGAGUGGCGGACGGGUGAGGAAUACAUCGGAAUCUACUUUUUCGUGGGGGAUAACGUAGGGAAACUUACGCUAAUACCGCAUACGACCUACGGGUGAAAGCAGGGGAUCUUCGGACCUUGCGCGAUUGAAUGAGCCGAUGUCGGAUUAGCUAGUUGGCGGGGUAAAGGCCCACCAAGGCGACGAUCCGUAGCUGGUCUGAGAGGAUGAUCAGCCACACUGGAACUGAGACACGGUCCAGACUCCUACGGGAGGCAGCAGUGGGGAAUAUUGGACAAUGGGCGCAAGCCUGAUCCAGCCAUACCGCGUGGGUGAAGAAGGCCUUCGGGUUGUAAAGCCCUUUUGUUGGGAAAGAAAAGCAGCAGGUUAAUACCCCGCUGUUCUGACGGUACCCAAAGAAUAAGCGCCGGCUAACUUCGUG